rnacentral:rRNA from 1 species
AUUGAACGCUGGCGGCAGGCCUAACACAUGCAAGUCGAGCGGAUGAAGGGAGCUUGCUCCUGGAUUCAGCGGCGGACGGGUGAGUAAUGCCUAGGAAUCUGCCUGGUAGUGGGGGAUAACGUCCGGAAACGGGCGCUAAUACCGCAUACGUCCUGAGGGAGAAAGUGGGGGAUCUUCGGACCUCACGCUAUCAGAUGAGCCUAGGUCGGAUUAGCUAGUUGGUGGGGUAAAGGCCUACCAAGGCGACGAUCCGUAACUGGUCUGAGAGGAUGAUCAGUCACACUGGAACUGAGACACGGUCCAGACUCCUACGGGAGGCAGCAGUGGGGAAUAUUGGACAAAGGGCGAAAGCCUGAUCCAGCCAUGCCGCGUGUGUGAAGAAGGUCUUCGGAUUGUAAAGCACUUUAAGUUGGGAGGAAGGGCAGUAAGUUAAUCCCUUGCUGUUUUGACGUUACCAACAGAAUCAGCACCGGCUAACUUCGUG